rnacentral:rRNA from 1 species
GCUCACUGGUCUAGUGGUUCCGCGCCGACAAUGUAGCGGGGCUCAAGCACACCACCGAAGACGCGGCAGUAUUUUGUACUGGGUAGGAGAGCGUCCCAUGAGGGGCGAAGCGGCCGUGUGAACGCGCCGUGGACUUCAUGGGAGUGAGAAUGCAGACAUGAGUAGCGAGAGACGGGUGAAGAUCCCGUCCGCUGGAUGACCAAGGGUUCCAGGGCCACGUUCAUCGUCCCUGGGUGAGUCGGGUCCUAAGGCGAGGCCGACAGGCGUAGUCGAAUGGAUGAACGGGUCGAUAUUCCCGUACCGGCUUUCAGCCGCCAAAACCGAGGCUUGGAGUACUAACCUCCGGGUCCGGGCUUACUGCUCCUUCGGGGGCGGGAUGCCCUGGCCUGUUGGGACCGAUCCUUGUAGUAGGUCAGCGCAGGAGUGACGCAGAAGGGUAGCCGGCCGCGGAGGUGGUCUUCCGUGGUCAAGCACGCAGGGCGUGGGACAGGCAAAUCCGUCCCGCAUGGGUCCGAGGUGCGAUGAUGGGGGCCUUAUGGCCCGAUAUCCGGUGAUCCCGGCUGCCGAGAAAAGCUUCGGCGUCAGGCUCGAAGCCGCCCGUACCCCAAACCGACACUGGUGGUCAGGUAGAGAAUACCAAAGCGAUCGAGCGAAUCCUGGUCAAGGAACUCGGCAAAUCACUCCCGUUCCUUCGGUUUAAGGGAGACCCCCGAUGGUGAACACACUUGCUGUGGGAGCUUUUGGGGGUGGCACAGACCAGGGGGUAGCGACUGUUUACCAAAAACACAGGUGCAUGCGAAGGCGCAAGCCGCUGUAUAUGCACUGACGCCUGCCCGGUGCCGGAAGGUUAAGAGGAUCCGUCAGCCUUCGGGUGAAGCGGUGAAUUCAAGCCCCGGUAAACGGCGGUGGUAACUAUAACCAUCCUAAGGUAGCGAAAUUCCUUGUCGGGUAAGUUCCGACCUGCACGAAUGGCGUAACGACUUCCCCACUGUCUCGACCAGGAGCUCGGCGAAAUUGCAGUACGAGUAAAGAUGCUCGUUAAGCGCAGAAGGACGAAAAGACCCCGGGACCUUUACUAUACCUUGGUAUUGGCAUUCGGUGUGGAUUGUGUAGCAUAGGCGGGAGGCCGAGAGGCGCGGUCGCCAGAUCGCGCGGAGCCGUAAGGUGAAAUACCGCUCUGUUCGCAUUGGAUGUCUAACCUCGAACAGUCAUCCUGUUCAGGGACAGUGCCUGGCGGGUAGUUUAACUGGGGCGGUUGCCUCCCAAAGAGUAACGGAGGCGCCCAAAGGUCCGCUCAGCCCGGUUGGCAAUCGGGUGGCGAGUGCAAGUGCACAAGCGGGCUUGACUGCGAGGACGACGGUCCGAGCAGGGACGAAAGUCGGGACUAGUGAUCCGGUGCCGGUGUACGGACGCGGCAUCGCUCAACGGAUAAAAGGUACCCCGGGGAUAACAGGCUGAUCAUUCCCAAGAGUCCAUAUCGACGGGAUGGUUUGGCACCUCGAUGUCGGCUCGUCGCAUCCUGGGGCUGGAGCAGGUCCCAAGGGUUCGGCUGUUCGCCGAUUAAAGCGGCACGCGAGCUGGGUUCAGAACGUCGUGAGACAGUUUGGUCUCUAUCCUCUGCGCUCGUUGGAAUGCUGAGGAGGCCUGCCCAUAGUACGAGAGGACCUGGGUGGACGAACCUCUGGUAUGCCGGUUGUCACGCCAGUGGCACGGCCGGUUGGCUACGUUCGGAAGGGAUAACCGCUGAAAGCAUCUAAGCGGGAAGCCUGCUCCAAGAUAAGCAUUCCGUGGAACCUUCGAGUUCCUGUAGUCCCCAUGCAGAACACGUGGUCGAUAGGCCGGACGUGGAAGCCCCGCGAGGGGUGGAGCCGACCGGUACUAACGGACGAAAGGCAACACUA